GGUUUUAUAUUCAUGAAAAUGAUAUUGGAAUGCAAUUCCAGCAGAGUAUUAAAUAUACUAAGACUU
rnacentral:tRNA from 1 species